rnacentral:tRNA from 1 species
AAGGGAGACCUAAUUCAGGUAGGAGACGAAAAAAAAGUAGUCGCUACCAAGAAUCAAUCCCAAAAGGUCGGAGCGAGGCGAAAUUGGCUUUCAAACUAGGUUCUGGGUUCACACAAGACCUGAAUCAGGAACAAGGGCUAUUAGCUCAGGUGGUUAGAGCGCACCCCUGAUAAGGGUGAGGUCCCUGGUUCGAGUCCAGGAUGGCCCACCUGCACAGGUGGCAAAAACAAGAGAAGCUCCGAAUCAGCACCUUGUCUUAUAUACAUAUAUAAGAGAGAAUGCUGGCUCUGAGUACAGAGUCCAGAGGAACCUCGAAAACUGCAUAGAGCUAGGUGAAAAAGCCAAAAAAGAAGACCGCAA